rnacentral:rRNA from 1 species
AAGCUCGUAGUUGAAUUUCGGGAUCAGGCUGUCGGUCGUGCCUCGGUACGCACUGGCAUUAUUGGUUCCUACCUUCUGAAGAACCGCGAUGUCAUUAAUUUGGUGUCGCGGGGAAUCAGGACUGUUACUUUGAAAAAAUUAGAGUGUUUAAAGCAGGCUUACGCUUGAAUACAUUAGCAUGGAAUAAUGAAAUAGGACGUUUGAUUCUAUUUUGUUGGUUUCUAGGAUCGACGUAAUGAUUAAUAGGAAUAGUUGGG